CAAGRGCCCCGAAAAGGGCCUUCGAAC
rnacentral:rRNA from 1 species